AAUACGACCGUACCGCAAACCGACACUGGUGCGCGAGAUGAGUAUUCUAAGGCGCUUGAGAGAACUCAGGAGAAGGAACUCGGCAAAUUGACACCGUAACUUCGGAAGAAGGUGUGCCCUAUUAGUGUGUAGUGAACAACGAAGCAUGAAUGGGUUGCAAAAAAUCGGUGGCUGCGACUGUUUAUUAAAAACACAGCACUCUGCAAACACGAAAGUGGACGUAUAGGGUGUGACGCCUGCCCGGUGCUGGAAGAUUAAAUGAUGGGGUGCAAGCUCUUGAUUGAAGUCCCAGUAAACGGCGGCCGUAACAAUAACGGUCCUAAGGUAGCGAAAUUCCUUGUCGGGUAAGUUCCGACCUGCACGAAUGGUGUAACGAUGGCCACACUGUCUCCUCCUGAGACUCAGCGAAGUUGAAAUGUUUGUGAUGAUGCAAUCUCCCCGCGGAAAGACGGAAAGACCCCAUGAACCUUUACUGUAGCUUUGUAUUGGACUUUGAACAGAUCUGUGUAGGAUAGGUGGGAGGCUUUGAAGCAGGGUCGCUAGAUCUUGUGGAGCCAACGUUGAAAUACCACCCUGGUGUGUUUGAGGUUCUAACCUAGGUCCAUUAUCUGGAUCGGGGACAGUGCAUGGUAGGCAGUUUGACUGGGGCGGUCUCCUCCCAAAGCGUAACGGAGGAGUUCGAAGGUACGCUAGUUACGGUCGGACAUCGUGACGAUAGUGCAAUGGCAUAAGCGUGCUUAACUGCGAGACUGACAAGUCGAGCAGAUGCGAAAGCAGGACAUAGUGAUCCGGUGGUUCUGUAUGGAAGGGCCAUCGCUCAACGGAUAAAAGGUACUCUGGGGAUAACAGGCUGAUACCGCCCAAGAGUUCAUAUCGACGGCGGUGUUUGGCACCUCGAUGUCGGCUCAUCUCAUCCUGGGGCUGUAGCCGGUCCCAAGGGUAUGGCUGUUCGCCAUUUAAAGAGGUACGUGAGCUGGGUUUAAAACGUCGUGAGACAGUUUGGUCCCUAUCUUCCGUGGGCGCUGCAGAUUUGAGGAAGCCUGCUCCUAGUACGAGAGGACCGGAGUGGACACACCUCUGGUGUAUCGGUUGUCACGCCAGUGGCAUUGCCGAGUAGCUAAGUGUGGAAGAGAUAACCGCUGAAAGCAUCUAAGCGGGAAACUCGUUUCAAGAUGAGAUCUGCCGGGGCCUUGAGCCCCCUAAAGAGUCGUUCAAGACCAGGACGUUGAUAGGUCAGGUGUGGAAGCCA
rnacentral:rRNA from 1 species